rnacentral:rRNA from 1 species
UACGGAGGGGGCUAGCGUUGUUCGGAAUUACUGGGCGUAAAGCGCACGUAGGCGGCUUUGUAAGUUAGAGGUGAAAGCCCGGGGCUCAACUCCGGAAUUGCCUUUAAGACUGCAUCGCUCGAAUUGUGGAGAGGUAAGUGGAAUUCCGAGUGUAGAGGUGAAAUACGUAGAUAUCGGAAGGAACACCAAUGGCGAAGGCAACUUCCUGGACUGAUACUGACACUGAGGUGCGAAAGCGUGGGGAGCAAACAGG